UCCAGCCUACCUGGGCCAGGGAAGGGGCUUGGAGGUAUCUUCCCAGAGGGAUUGUACUAAGGGUCACACUGUUCCUAACUGAAGCCACCCUGAUACCCUCUUUCACCCAGUGGCAUUUGCAACUGAACACAGCAUGUGCGUGAAGGAGCUGUCGUGCUUGUUGGGAUCUAGAAUCACAUAGGAUAAAAGGAUCUGGGCACAUCUGUGAAGACAUUUUUGGAUUGGGCUGAGAUAGGAAGACUCAUCCUGAAUGUGGUGGCACCAUUCCCUAGGCUGGAGUGUUGGACCGAAUCAAAAGGAGAAAGUAAGCUGCGUACCAGCAUUCAUCUUUACUAUUUCCUAACUGCAGAUGCAGAGCUCCCUCCAGCUCCUGUUACCAAGCCUUAUCUACAAUGGUGGAUGGACUCAAGUUAUGAACUCAAAUAAUCCCUUCCUUCUGUGAGCUGCUUUUGUUAGGUAUUACAGCAAUAAGAGAAGUAAUUUGUAUGAAAACUAGUUCACUUUUCUUGAUAAAAGAAAUUCCCAA
ensembl:lincRNA Gm43154 predicted gene 43154